rnacentral:rRNA from 1 species
GACGGAAGGUGCAAGCGUUGCUCGGAAUCAUUGGGCGUAAAGAGCGUGUAGGCGGCCAGAAAAGUCCGCUGUGAAAACUCGAGGCUCAACUUCGAGCUGUCGGUGGAAACUUUCUGGCUAGAGUCCGGAAGAGGAGAAUGGAAUUCCUGGUGUAGCGGUGAAAUGCGCAGAUAUCAGGAAGAACACCCGUGGCGAAGGCGGUUCUCUGGGACGGUACUGACGCUGAGACGCGAAAGCGUGGGGAGCGAACAGG